GGGGAGGCAGAAAGCCAGAGAAAGUGGGCUCGACAGACGCACAGCUCCAGCUCAUCACCCUGGUCCUUCUGCUUCCCGGUGGUGCGACCGUGGGCAAGUCACUGGACUUCUCUGUGCCUCUAUUUCCCCAUCUGCCAAACAGGGCUAAUUCUACUGGUUACCAUAGAAGGCCACUGGGCAGCGAGGCUCAGAAUCAGGCCUGGCCCUCCGGAAGGGCUGUUUGUGAUCACGAUGGCUGGUCUGGCCCUGGUAUAACGCCAGGCUCUGGCCCCUGAGCCUCCCGGAGCUCAGCGUCCUUGCGGCGAUCAGCACGGGCAUAGGCAGCCCUGGAGAGCACCUGCCCCCAAGUCACAAUAGACAACCUCAUCUGGCUCCUGUGAUGAUUAUCCCCUCCCUUGAGUGGGUGCUCUACCUUUAUUAAUAGGGCCCAAUUUACAUGGGCUUUCUAGGUGGCCUUGUACUGGCAAAUCAUGCUCAGCUGACAGACAACUACCAUCUGUUUGCCCUAGCUGAUUCUAUGGGUUUUUCUUUUUUUCUUUUUCUUCUUUAGGUCAGACAAAGAUCUUGAUUUGUCUUCCUGCCAUGGUACUUCCUGUUCAGGGGUUCUGAAAGAGCCUGCAUAGAAGACUGAUGAAGAAGAGCUCUGGCGUCCAACUGAGCCGGAUUCGAACCCAGCUCCCUCCAUGGCCUUGGGCGAGUCACUUUACCUGCCUGAGUUUUCUCUGGGAAGGGGCACUCCUGGGAGGCAGUAGGAGCAAACUGCGUCGUGUUUGCAAAGCACCGAGCUCAGGCACCCAGCAAACUUGCCGCUGGGAGUUUGCAGGAGGAGCUGAGCUCAGCUGGCCUCCCCUCCCCUGGUGCAGAGGGGCCAGGAAGGCUCUGCUCACAGGAGCCAGGGGCCUGGGGCUGUAGUGAUGCUCACAGGAAGCAGCCUGGAGACAAAAGCUACUUGCUCAGCCCCCAGGGCGGGAGCCCCAGCUCCUCUCCUCCCAGUUUCACCCUAAGGAGCAGAAGGGAAAGUGAGGCAGAUGAUAGUUCAGCCCAAGUCAGAAGUCAUUGCCCUGCAAGGAGGUGAGCUCCCCGUCAGGGGGAGUAUGGAAGCAGAGCACAGACGAGUCACCACUGGGCUUAGAAAGGGCACAUGGCAUCUACCAGGUGCAUCUGAGGAGACUUUCGAAGUCCCAAGAACCCAGAACUAUCUGAGAUACAAAGCAAAGCCCAGAAUCAGGCAAACUGCCACUUCUAAAGGGGCCUCCAUCCACUUAUUUGAUAAGAUCCUCUGACCGGUGACCUGGGAAGGGGCUGGAAAGGGCCUGGCAUGCCUAACUUCAUGCCAAGGGACCCGGGCACAACCAGCCAGGGACUGGGCUUCACAGGUGAGAGAGCGAGGCCCGGAGAGGUCCAGGAACUUGUCACAGCCUCCCAGCCGGUCCUCUCUAGGACCAGGAUUCACAGCCAAGCCAGUGUCCCAAGCCCUCCACUCCCUGCCCUGCAGCCCCUCCUCCUGGGCUUCCCUGCCUGUCCCCAGCCCGCUACCACCUCCCACAGUGAGUCAGACAAACGUGGCUCCCUCCUCUGGUAGUCCAAGGGCAGUGCCCGACCCCAGCCUCCUUCUACCCCACUUCCCCUUCUCUACAGCCCUGGGCAGGCGGGGAGAGGGACUUAUUCCCACCCUGAGGCUCACAGAGGGCAGCAACCAGCCCAAGGCCACAAGCAAGGCGCCCUCAGAACCUCCCCCAGCCUCAGCAGAAGAGCCGAUCCCUGCUGGGGGAGGGGGAGGUAGGCUCAGCCCUCCCCCGCCUCCUUCCCGGGAGAGGGGAUGGAGAAAAGCCCACUUCUCUGCUCCAACCUGUGCACCAGGCUGAGGGGCAGAGGCUGAGCCCAGCUACUCCCUGCCUCCCCUGGCUGGCAGGAACGAGCACCCUGCUCCCUCUGCUCCCCAGCCAGAGGCCCCUCAGGGCUGGGCUGGUAGCACUGGGUGCGGUUCGCUGUCACAGCCUCGCCAGGGCAGCCACCCCAACACGGACACUAGGAGCUCCAGGGACAACAGCUGGGGCCAGGAAGCCUCAGCUUCCCCGGAUGAGGAGUCCUCUCCAUCUGCACCUGGGGCCGCUGAACAAAGGUCAUGGGGCUAGAUCUCCUGCACGGUGGGAACCACACGCAGGCUGCGGGGCCUCCCACUCGUGCAGCCACCCAGCCGUGCCCUCCCCGCUAGGAGAGGGCACGGCUCCUCCAAGUCCCCAAGCAGACCCAGAUUGGGGGAGCGGUCCAGAGCCCCAAGUCUGGGGCUGCCCUGGGCACCAGGCUGCUCCUCUCCACAGUGUUCAGACAGCCUCUGCCACCCAGCUGUCCCCGUCCACUGUCAGCUUGCCCCCUGCUCUCUCACUCUGGCGGGAGACUGUGCCUGAGAGCUGGGGGCUGGCAUCAGACGGCCCUGGGCCCAACCCAAGCUCUGUGCUCCCGAGUCAGCCACUAACCUCCCUGUGCCUCAGGCUCCUCACCGAGGGACUGGGGGUUGGGGGUGAUCACCGCACCUGCCUUGGCCCCACUUUGUGGGAGGUGAAAGGGGAGGGCAGGUGCCCUGGGCCAGCAGUGGGGAGCAGCGGCCUCCUUCUACAUGGGCCUUGUUUACCCCCAGAAACACUCUGAGCACCUACUGCUUCCAUCGUCGUCUAGAUUAGCCACCCACUCUGGCCUGCAGGUGUCAGUCUCUAGGGGAAGCCAAGGUGUGAACACAGCAUGUGCUGGAAGUAGGAGCUUUCCAGGAGAAAUGAGAAAGAGCAUCCCAGGAGUGGCAGCAUCACGUGCAAAGGCCCAGGGGCCUGACUGUGCAGAUAGAGUGUAUCUCCCAGGGGAAGCUGUCUCUUCCUUGAGAAAGGGGAUGUUACCAGUGGGGAUGUGCGGUCCAGAGGGAGACGGGGACCAGCUCACAGUCACCCAGCAGAUGUGCACAGUCAGAAUGAGCUCAGCCCUCCCAGCUCCGCGUUGGCCGCCCAGCCCCCCUCAGCCCAGCCCUCCCCACGCCGCUCUCCGUUCCCCUUUUGCGCCCAUUCCUCAGUCCUCCUUGCUCUCAAUUCCCCAUUCCGCUUCCCUAAGCUGCCCGGGAGAGGAAGUGGCUAAGGGACAGAAGAUGUGGUUUCUUUGCUGGCGGCUCUGAGCUGCAGCCCGCAGCUUGAGCUCGAAAGUUUCCCCAGCUGUAGAAGAGAAAGAAGCAGCCUGGGAGAGUGGCCGUGGCGAGUGAAUGCGGUGACAUCUGUCUAGCGCUGAAGACAGUGAUUCAGGGAGACGGGCUGGUGACACCAACAUAGGUCCGGGUGCCGGGCCCCGUUUGUUACAGCCCAGCGCCCUUCUGCAGGGAACGUGCAAACUCAUCCUGGCCAGUUCACACCCUGAAAUGCUACCCCACAGUGAGAAAACGGAGCGUUUAUGCAGCACGGUGCGGCCCCGAGCGUGACGGCUGAGAAAGAAGCCGCAUCCGUCCGGCUCUGCAGCUGCCAGUGCUCUGAGCUGGAGGUCGCAGGCAGAGAAGCUGGGGGGCAAUGAGGAGCGAUGCCGCGUCCUCACGCUGGUCCUGUCUGCUGGCUCAGUCCUGGCUGAGGGGCCCUGGGUGUGCUUACUUUGUGAGCAGUCCUCAAGAUGUGCCCUGGAGAGACCCAAACUUCUCCACGGGCAAACAAUGCGCUAAGGUUUACAGAAAUAAAAUAGAGAUCAGCUGA